ensembl:lncRNA
CAUUCAUUUAUUUCUGGGCUUGACUGUGUACAAUCUUGAAUAUUUUGCUCCUGAGUCUAGGUGACUGAUGCAUUCCUAAUAGUUGACUAAUUUAUGUGCUGAACUAUGGAGAAUGGAAGGAAUCCAUAGAGCACAGGGCAAGAGCAUGGGCUUUGGCCCCGAUAGCUCUGCAGCAGACACUGAGUUACCUUAGGCAAGUUACUCCUCUGAGGAUCUGUUUGUUUCCUGUAAACAAGAGAAACUAUGCCCCUUAAGUCGUGAAAAGAAUGAAGUGAGAGACAGCGGUGAAGAUGCAUAAAUAGAAGCACAGCCAGAUAAAGUAUUGCUGUGGUACACUGUCUCCAUGAAAAGGUCUCCUUAGUUUGGACUUACAAAGUGAAUGUUUGGGCCUGAGAUUUUGACUACUGUUCCUGUUUUUAAUGAGAACUUGUGGGGAGGCUAUGCUAGGAAUAGCCAACCGUAUAUCAUCUUUGAACUUGUCUGAUGUAUGUUUACUCCUACAGAUACCUGUUUAUAUUUAACUAACACUGGUUGAAUUUCAUAGGGCCUUUUAAAAAACAAAAUGGUAGAGGACUCUAGCCUGACCCUGAAAAUUUGAAGGAGGAACCUUCUACUAAAACUGCCCAAGAAGACAGAAUGGAGCCAUGCUGAAAACAACAAAGGACUAUAGUGAUGAAAUUCUAGUGCUUGAAGUGGAAGACCAAAGGCAGAUUUGAAGAAUUUUCCCAAUUAGUGUGUGGAGGUGGUGAAGGAUGUUUCUGAAACAGCUUUCAUUGCUAAUCUUUGUUUCCAAAUCUGUUUCUCAGGGAAACAAGCUUGACCAUUGACUUAUUGAAAAGGGUCUCCUUAUGUAUCCUGGGUUGUACUUGAACCUACAAUGUAACCAGUUUGUCUCUGAACUCACAUUGGUCCUCCUGACUCAGCCUUGUCAGUUUCCUUUGCUGAACUUGUGACUGAGGGAUCAGUGACUUUACCUCCCCUCCUUACUGGAGCCCUUGGGAGUCAGUGGAGCUCAUUUCCAUAUUCCUUACACCAGAGUCUGAAUCAAUUCAGAAACAGUUCCCAAUGGUCAGGAGGGCAGCAUAAGCCUAUUUGUGGAUAUGAGGAGGAGGUCGCUGAGAUCUAACUCGAACUUGUAAUUCUGAACUUCUGAAAACCAUUUGUCCAGUGGUAGUCUGGUUGCAGAGGGAAGCAUUUCUGAAGUAGAUUGGCAGAACACAAGAAGAGAGUGCCUGCCUCCAAGCAUGAGUCCAGUUCUGAGAGAGAUCCUCCAGCAAGAAAGCCUUGCUUCGUGGACUGCCCUUGCUACCACAAAGAGACUGACAGACCUUCCGUUGCCUUUCUCAAUUUCCUUAUAAAGCUCAAUGGCCUUUUGUGAGUCUUGACAACACACAUGACAUGUUAUGCUCUUGAGACCUCUGAGGUAGAAUAUGGUGAGGAGGGAGACUUCCUCCUGAGCUCUUUCAUAAGAGGGAAAGCAGGCAGAGGAAGAGUGGGGGCCACCAGCCAGGGGGAUGCAUAGGUGUGGCACAAUUCCACUGUGAUGGUGUUGUCUCUGGUAGCCUUUGGUAGAUCCCUUCUCUCAGAACUUCUGGGCAUACUGCAUGUAUUUCCACUUGCCCAGAACCAUGAUACUAAGAAAAAUGUUGGGAGCAGAAUGCAGCUUAUAGAACUGUAGCCCCUCGCACGUGCUCUAUGUGACAGAACCCUCGUUUUGUAGGUGUAGUUAUAAAACAUGGUGUCCACAAGCUGAAAGGAAAACAUGCAUACUCUAUGUCCUGGGAAUGUACUGAUGAUUUCACAAGACUAGUCUCAGAAAUGGAGUUCAGUAUAUGUAGAAGGGAAAUCUCUACUUAUUCUGAACUUUUUACAUAGAAGCAUGGGACUGGAUUGGUUGAAAAUCAAAAACAGUGGCCUGGAACUUGGGAGAUGGAAACAGCAACUUCUAAGGUUUUGGAAAUGACCCUGAGAAAUCACUGUCUGCCAGUUCGUAUCCAUUAAAGAAGUUAUCCAUUAAACUAGGGGAAUCCCCCCAUCUCAGUGACUCCCACAUAAAGACCACUGAUGUCUCAAGAAUAAUAGACUGGUUGGCUGAAUUGGUGGCUACAGUUACAGACUCAAUGCAUACACACACACACACACACACACACACACACACACACACACACACGGAGAGAGAAAGAGACAAACAGAGAGAGAAGGGGUGGAAUAUGGCUGAAAAGCAUGAGAUAUCUCCACCUUUCAUUUUAUCAGCUAGUGGCCAGAGAGUUCCUUACCUGGCUUAAUUAUUUUGUUUAUAAACAUUGCCUGAUGAGAGGACUGUUAAAGUGUACCAUUGAGUAAUAUGAUAACCAGAAAUUCAAAAGGUUGACUUGUAAUACUUCACAGGCAAAUUCUUUCCACGAAUAUAAGCUUGCUGCUGCUAAGAAGGGUUUAUGUCUUUAAGACUAUGGAGUAUUAACAAGGACAUUGCUUUUACAUUGAUAUAAAUCAGCACAGAGUGUGAAUUCUACAUUUUGUAGGAAAGUCUGUACAAGAGGAAAUGAAAGGAGAAUAAAGGAAUGGCUUGAGAGGUAAUGACUGGGACUAUGAAAGGUUGCACUGUUAAGGACCCUGAUCUUAUAUUCUCCAGGAUGGUAAAUGAUGUUGACUUGGAACAUGGGAACAACCCUGGACAAUGUCCCCUUUUACAUAAAUGUUAAGGGAAGGGGAAAAAAAGGACACAGCACAAAGGAGGAUUCCAGGAAUAUACAUGGCAAACAGUUUUUUCUUUAAAGUUCCAAAUUGGUAUUCU